rnacentral:rRNA from 1 species
GAUGAACGCUGGCGGCGUGCCUAAUACAUGCAAGUCGAGCGAACAGACGUGGAGCUUGCUCCUCUGAUGUUAGCGGCGGACGGGUGAGUAACACGUGGAUAACCUACCUAUAAGACUGGGAUAACUUCGGGAAACCGGAGCUAAUACCGGAUAACAUGUUGAACCGCAUGGUUCAACAGUGAAAGACGGUCUUGCUGUCACUUAUAGAUGGAUCCGCGCCGCAUUAGCUAGUUGGUAAGGUAACGGCUUACCAAGGCAACGAUGCGUAGCCGACCUGAGAGGGUGAUCGGCCACACUGGAACUGAGACACGGUCCAGACUCCUACGGGAGGCAGCAGUAGGGAAUCUUCCGCAAUGGGCGAAAGCCUGACGGAGCAACGCCGCGUGAGUGAAGAAGGUCUUCGGAUCGUAAAACUCUGUUAUUAGGGAAGAACAAAUGUGUAAGUAACUAUGCACGUCUUGACGGUACCUAAUCAGAAAGCCACGGCUAACUACGUG